rnacentral:rRNA from 1 species
UGGGGAAUAUUGCACAAUGGGGGAAACCCUGAUGCAGCGACGCCGCGUGAGCGAAGAAGUAUUUCGGUAUGUAAAGCUCUAUCAGCAGGGAAGAAAUAGGACGGUACCUGACUAAGAAGCACCGGCUAAAUACGUGCCAGCAGCCGCGGUAAUACGUAUGGUGCAAGCGUUAUCCGGAUUUACUGGGUGUAAAGGGAGCGUAGACGGUUGUGUAAGUCUGAUGUGAAAGCCCGGGGCUCAACCCCGGGACUGCAUUGGAAACUAUGUAACUAGAGUGUCGGAGAGGUAAGCGGAAUUCCUAGUGUAGCGGUGAAAUGCGUAGAUAUUAGGAGGAACACCAGUGGCGAAGGCGGCUUACUGGACGAUCACUGACGUUGAGGCUCGAAAGCGUGGGGAGCAAACAG